rnacentral:rRNA from 1 species
CCUACGGGAGGCAGCAGUGGGGAAUAUUGGACAAUGGGGGCAACCCUGAUCCAGCCAUGCCGCGUGAGUGAUGACGGCCUUAGGGUUGUAAAGCUCUUUUCUCCGGGGCGAUAAUGACGGUACCGGAGGAAUAAGCCCCGGCUAACUUCGUGCCAGCAGCCGCGGUAAUACGAAGGGGGCUAGCGUUGCUCGGAAUCACUGGGCGUAAAGGGCGCGUAGGCGGCUGAUUUAGUCGAGGGUGAAAGCCUGUGGCUCAACCACAGAAUUGCCUUCGAUACUGGUUGGCUUGAGACCGGAAGAGGACAGCGGAACUGCGAGUGUAGAGGUGAAAUUCGUAGAUAUUCGCAAGAACACCAGUGGCGAAGGCGGCUGUCUGGUCCGGUUCUGACGCUGAGGCGCGAAAGCGUGGGGAGCAAACAGGAUUAGAUACCCUGGUAGUCCACGCUGUAAACGAUGAAUGCUAGCCGUAGGGGUGCAUGCACUCUGUGGCGCCGCUACGCAUAAGCACUCCGUCCGUCGGGAGGUACGGUCGCGAAGAAUUAAAACGUUAAAGUAAGUUAGACGGCGUGAGACGUCGCCGACGGACGACGACGAGGGAGGUUAGG